rnacentral:rRNA from 1 species
UGGGGAAUAUUGGACAAUGGGGGAAACCCUGAUCCAGCGACGCCGCGUGGGUGAUGAAGGCUUUCGGGUCGUAAAGCCCUGUCAGGAGGAAAGAAUGCUCCUAUGAUAAAUACUCAUAGGAAGUGACGGUACCUCCAAAGGAAGCACCGGCCAACUCCGUGCCAGCAGCCGCGGUAAGACGGAGGGUGCAAGCGUUGCUCGGAAUUACUGGGCGUAAAGGGUGCGUAGGCGGCCUUUCAAGUCCGGCGUGAAAGCCCAGGGCUCAGCCUUGGAAGUGCGCUAGAAACUGAAUGGCUAGAGUAUCGGAUGGGAGAGUGGAAUUCCUGGUGUAGCGGUGAAAUGCGUAGAUAUCAGGAGGAAUACCGGUGGCGAAGGCGACUCUCUGGACGAUAACUGACGCUGAGGCACGAAAGCGUGGGGAGCAAACAGGAUUAGAUACCCGCGUAGUCCCUGAGCGGGCUGGCAAGGCGCAU